GACGAACGCUGGCGGCGUGCUUAACACAUGCAAGUCGAACGGAAAGGCCCUGCUUUUGUGGGGUGCUCGAGUGGCGAACGGGUGAGUAACACGUGAGUAACCUGCCCUUGACUUUGGGAUAACUUCAGGAAACUGGGGCUAAUACCGGAUAGGAGCUCCUGCUGCAUGGUGGGGGUUGGAAAGUUUCGGCGGUUGGGGAUGGACUCGCGGCUUAUCAGCUUGUUGGUGGGGUAGUGGCUUACCAAGGCUUUGACGGGUAGCCGGCCUGAGAGGGUGACCGGCCACAUUGGGACUGAGAUACGGCCCAGACUCCUACGGGAGGCAGCAGUGGGGAAUAUUGCACAAUGGGCGGAAGCCUGAUGCAGCAACGCCGCGUGCGGGAUGACGGCCUUCGGGUUGUAAACCGCUUUCGCCUGUGACGAAGCGUGAGUGACGGUAAUGGGUAAAGAAGCACCGGCUAACUACGUGCCAGCAGCCGCGGUGAUACGUAGGGUGCGAGCGUUGUCCGGAUUUAUUGGGCGUAAAGGGCUCGUAGGUGGUUGAUCGCGUCGGAAGUGUAAUCUUGGGGCUUAACCCUGAGCGUGCUUUCGAUACGGGUUGACUUGAGGAAGGUAGGGGAGAAUGGAAUUCCUGGUGGAGCGGUGGAAUGCGCAGAUAUCAGGAGGAACACCAGUGGCGAAGGCGGUUCUCUGGGCCUUUCCUGACGCUGAGGAGCGAAAGCGUGGGGAGCGAACAGGCUUAGAUACCCUGGUAGUCCACGCUGUAAACGGUGGGUACUAGGUGUGGGGUCCAUUCCACGGGUUCCGUGCCGUAGCUAACGCUUUAAGUACCCCGCCUGGGGAGUACGGCCGCAAGGCUAAAACUCAAAGGAAUUGACGGGGCCCCGCACAAGCGGCGGAGCAUGCGGAUUAAUUCGAUGCAACGCGUAGAACCUUACCUGGGUUUGACAUGGAUCGGGAGUGCUCAGAGAUGGGUGUGCCUCUUUUGGGGUCGGUUCACAGGUGGUGCAUGCCUGUCGUCAGCUCGUGUCGUGAGAUGUUGGGUUAAGUCCCGCAACGAGCGCAACCCUUGUUCACUGUUGCCAGCACGUUAUGGUGGGGACUCAGUGGAGACCGCCGGGGUCAACUCGGAGGAAGGUGGGGAUGACGUCAAGUCCUCAUGCCCCUUAUGUCCAGGGCUUCACGCAUGCUACAAUGGCUGGUACAGAGAGUGGCGAGCCUGUGAGGGUGAGCGAAUCUCGGAAAGUCGGUCUCAGUUCGGAUUGGGGUCUGCAACUCGACCUCAUGAAGUCGGAGUCGCUAGUAAUCGCAAAUCAGCAACGCUGCGGUGAAUACGUUCCCGGG
rnacentral:rRNA from 1 species